UACGGGGGGGGCAAGCGUUGUUCGGAAUUACUGGGCGUAAAGGGCUCGUAGGCGGCCAACUAAGUCGGACGUGAAAUCCCUCGGCUCAACCGGGGAACUGCGUCCGAUACUGGAUGGCUCGAGUUCGGGAGAGGGAUGCGGAAUUCCAGGUGUAGCGGUGAAAUGCGUAGAUAUCUGGAGGAACACCGGUGGCGAAGGCGGCAUCCUGGACCGACACUGACGCUGAGGAGCGAAAGCCAGGGGAGCAAACGGG
rnacentral:rRNA from 1 species